rnacentral:rRNA from 1 species
AUUGAACGCUGGCGGCAUGCCUUACACAUGCAAGUCGAACGGUAACGGGUCCUUCGGGAUGCCGACAAGUGGCGAACGGGUGAGUAAUAUAUCGGAACGUGCCCAGUAGUGGGGGAUAACUGCUCGAAAGAGCAGCUAAUACCGCAUACGACCUGAGGGUGAAAGGGGGGGAUCGCAAGACCUCUCGCUAUUGGAGCGGCCGAUAUCAGAUUAGCUAGUUGGUGGGGUAAAGGCCUACCAAGGCAACGAUCUGUAGUUGGUCUGAGAGGACGACCAGCCACACUGGGACUGAGACACGGCCCAUACUCCUACGGGAGGCAGCAGUGGGGAAUUUUGGACAAUGGGCGCAAGCCUGAUCCAUCAAUGCCGCGUGCAGGAAGAAGGCCUUCGGGUUGUAAACUGCUUUUGUCAGGGAAGAAAUCUUCUGGGCUAAUACCCCGGGAGGAUGACGGUACCUGAAGAAUAAGCACCGGCUAACUACGUGCCAGCAGCCGCGGUAAUACGUAGGGUGCGAGCGUUAAUCGGAAUUACUGGGCGUAAAGCGUGCGCAGGCGGCUUUGCAAGACAGAUGUGAAAUCCCCGGGCUCAACCUGGGAGCUGCAUUUGUGACUGCAAGGCUAGAGUACGGCAGAGGGGGAUGGAAUUCCGCGUGUAGCAGUGAAAUGCGUAGAUAUGCGGAGGAACACCAAUGGCGAAGGCAAUCCCCUGGGCCUGUACUGACGCUCAUGCACGAAAGCGUGGGGAGCAAACGGGAUUAGAUACCCUGGUAGUCCACGCCCUAAACGAUGUCAACUGGUUGUUGGACGGCUUGCUGUUCAGUAACGAAGCUAACGCGUGAAGUUGACCGCCUGGGGAGUACGGCCGCAAGGUUGAAACUCAAAGGAGUUGACGGGGACCCGCACAAGCGGUGGAUGAUGUGGUUUAGUUCGAUGCAACGCGAAAAACCUUACCUACCCUUGACAUGUCAAGAAUUCUGCAGAGAUGUGGAAGUGCUCGAAAGAGAACUUGAACACAGGUGCUGCAUGGCCGUCGUCAGCUCGUGUCGUGAGAUGUUGGGUUAAGUCCCGCAACGAGCGCAACCCUUGUCAUUAGUUGCUACGCAAGAGCACUCUAAUGAGACUGCCGGUGACAAACCGGAGGAAGGUGGGGAUGACGUCAGGUCCUCAUGGCCCUUAUGGGUAGGGCUACACACGUCAUACAAUGGCCGGUACAGAGGGCUGCCAACCCGCGAGGGGGAGCCAAUCCCAGAAAACCGGUCGUAGUCCGGAUCGUAGUCUGCAACUCGACUGCGUGAAGUCGGAAUCGCUAGUAAUCGCGGAUCAGCUUGCCGCGGUGAAUACGUUCCCGGGUCU